GUCCACGCCCUAAACGAUGGAUGCUAGGUUUGCGGGGUAUCGACCCCCUGUGAGCCGUAGGUAACCCGUUAAGCAUCCCGCCUGGGGACUACGACCGCAAGGUUAAAACUCAAAGGAAUUGACGGGGGCCCGCACAAGCAGCGGAGCGUGUGGUUUAAUUCGAUGCUAAGCGAAGAACCUUACCAGGGCUUGACAUGUAGGUGGUACGGAUCCGAAAGGUGAAGGACCCGCAAGGGAGCCUAC
rnacentral:rRNA from 1 species